GACCCCUUUCUUUCUCUUUUCUUUCUUCUUUAGCCACCCCGUCUACCCCCGCCCCUCCGUCCCUCGUGCCUCCACCGUCCCCUCCGAUACGUCUCUCUCCCUCUGCCCUUCCUCUGUCCAUCAUAUUUACAUAGUGAUGUUCUUCUUUCAAGUUUUUAGUGAAUCAACCGCGAUUCCACCUUCUCCAACGCAAUUACUUUUUCUUCUCCAACAUUUUUCUAGCUUGGUAAGCAAUUUAUUUGUGAGAUUUCUUCCUUUGAUUUUGAAGUUUUAGCCUGUUUAGAAUUUCAUUAUUUGAUUUUUAGGCAAAUUGAGAAAUUUGAUUUGUAGGGUUUGUUUUAAUUGUUGUUGUGCAAGAUUGUGGUUGAUAUUUGAGUUUCAUUUGAUAAGUUUCGGCUUGAGUUGGAUCGAACAAGCAAAAAAAUUGCAAAUUCCAGAUUAGUUCUCUAAAGUUGAAAUUGAAUAUAGAGUCAAUCUUUUUAAUCUUUAAUGUUGAGUUAUUGUUUUUUUCUUGUUUAAUUGGAUUUGAUGCACACUAGAAGUGUAGAUGAUGAGCACAUUUAUUGUGUAUAAGUAAUUUCUCAUGUCUGCUUUUUGAUUAGAUGACAAUUUUAAUUCUUUAUUAGAAGGUAUUCACAUAUGUUAAUUAAAUGGUUCAAUCUUUAUUGUCAAACUUAAUUACUUCUUGACAUGUUUGAAAAUAAUCGUGAUUACCUCAAUUGUAUAAGAACAAAGUGACAAUCUUUCUUAAAAUCCAUUAGUACUUGUAAAUACAAAGAGCUUAUACUAAGAUGGUAGCUUAAGUAAUAGAAAUUCAAAUACAUCUUAUACUAAGGCUAAAAGCGCCACACUUUUUUAGUCUUUUUGUUUUCAUUUCUUAAAAAAUAUUAGCGAUGUGUACAGGGAUUUUAUGAAUAUGUACCAAGCUAUUCAAAUUUAAUUGGUAUAUUCAAAGACUUAUAUUUUAGAAUAGGGAUUAAUGUGAGAGUUUGAGUGUUAGAUAAUUUUUUAAUUUAGAAGAAUAUAACGUAUAAUUAUAGUGCUUUGGGAUGAUGAUAACUAUAUUUUUAAAAGGAACCUUUGAAAGAAUAUAACUUACUAAUUAGUUCAAAUAAACUAAAUUAUUUUAAAUAUCUCAAUUCUAAUUUUCUCUUUGUGUUAGAGUACUGUAAUUUAGAUAUAAUAUAUUAAUUAAAGUAUAUUGUCAAAUAAUAAGUAAAUUUUAAAGAGGAACCUUAGAAUUGGCGUAAUCUAUUAAUUAUUUUAAAUAAAUUAAAUGAUUUUUUAUAUAUAUUAUAAAUUUCAAGUUUUUUUGUUUGUUAGAUGGAAUUUGAGCAUCAUAAAUGAAUGUAUAAUAGGAACCAUUCGGAUCAUAUAGGAUUGCGGAAUGAAUUUAUAGAAGAGGUUGCUAGCUUUAUUGCUAAGGCAAAGACACUUGAUAAUUUUCUAAUUAAAGGGAUGAUUAGGUGGCCCUGUGUAAAAUGUAAAUGUCUUAAGUUAUUGAGACAUGAUAUUAUUACUCUACAUUUGUAUGAGAAGGGGUUUAUGAAAAAUUAUUAUGUGUGGAUUGUACAUGGGAAGAGUCAUGCUAGUAUAUGAAGUUCAUUUUCAGAACUCAUCUGGUGGUGAAGAAGGUAAUCCCAUAGCAGUGCAUAUUACUAUUGAAAAUUCUAGAUUUAAUGAAAUUAUGAGGGAUGCUUUGGAGAUGUUCUCUGGAGUUCAAUCCGAACAAACAGAUGAGGUUGAGAGCUUCUUCAAACAGUUAGAGGAAGCUAGUUGUCUAUUUUAUGAAGGUGCAUCACAUUCCAAGUUGUUUGUUGAAGUUAGGUUACUAAGUAUUAAAUCGGAUAAGUUUAUUUCUAAGCAUACAUGGAUUCUAUCAUUGGCCUUAUGAAUGUACUUAAUCUAACCAAAAUUUCUUGCCUAAAGAUAUUUACACGAAAAAGAAAUUGGUUUUCACUUUGGGUCUUUCAUCGGGGAGAAUUGAUUAUUGUGAUAAAGAUUGUAUGUUAUUCUGUAAGGAUGAUGCAACUUUAGGAAAUUGUAAAUUUUGUAACCAACAACAUUACAAAGAAGUCGUAAAUGCUAAACAGAAGAAGGUUCCAGUGAAGGUGAUUCACUACUCACCCCUUAUACCAAGGUUAAAUGAGGUUGUAUGCAUCAAUGAGUUUCGUUCCUCAUAUGAAAUGACAUUACGAACAUAAACAUCUAGAUAGUGUGUUAUGUCAUCUGUCAGAUGGAGAAGCAUGUAAGCAUUUUGAUAGGGUGUUCCCAGACUUUGAUGGUGAACUAAGAAAUAUUACGCUGGAAUUAUAUGCUGAUGGAUUCUUUCCAUUUGCAGUGUAUGGUGCACUAUAUAUUGGCCACUGUUUGUUAUCCCAUAUAAUUUGCCGUCUGAAUUGUGUAUGACAAGUCAAUAUUUGUUUCUAACUUGUAUUGUUCCAGAUCCAUGCGAUCAAAAAUAUUGAUUGAUGUAUACAUGCAACCCCUAAUUGAUGAGUUGAAGUUAUUAUGGCAUGAAGGUGUGGAAACAUAUGAUGUAUCAGCUAAGUAAAAUUUUAAACUUUGUACUGCUUUAAUGUGGACUGUAAAUGAUUUUUCUACUCAUGGAAUGAUGUUCGAGUUGUCAACUGCCAGAAAUUUUGCCUGACUUGUAUGAAAGAUACAAAGUCAUUCAUUUUGAAACAUGGAUGUAUGAACACAUGGUUUGACUAUUAUCGCUGCCGCUUUCCAAUGGAUCAUGAGUUUAGGAGAAAUACUGGUGCAUUUAUGAAGAACAAAACUGAUUAUGAGGAUCCACCACAUGUCUUGUCUCCUGAAGAGAUUUGGAACAGAGUUAGGAUUUACCUAAGGUAACAGAGUAUCCAUUGCCUAAUAAGAUACGGGGGUAAGGUGUAAUACAGAACUGGACAAAACAAAACAUUUCUUGGGAGUUACCUUAUUAGAAGCACAAUCUUCUUCAACAUAAUCUUGAUGUUAUGCAUAUCAAGAAGAACAUUUUUGGUAACUUGUUUAAUACUGUGAUGGAUGUAAGCAACAAGACAAAAGAUAACAUGAAGGCCAGGAUGGAUUUGAAAAAAUAUUCUAGGCGGGCUCAGUUGUACUUGACAUACUGGAACAACAAGAUUCAGAAGCCUAAGACUAGUUAUACAUUCAUUUUGAAUGAAAAAAGAGAGAUUUGUAAUUAGUUUAAUAAUUUGAGGAUUCCUGAUGGGUAUGCAUCAAACUUAUCUAGGUGUGUUGACAUGAAAGAAGGGAAGUUGAUGUCACGACGCAAACCUUGGUCGUGAUGGCGCCCAAUCCUAAAACUAGGCAAUAGCAUCUCUCCGGUCUGGACGGGCAUUGAAGCGAGCCAGGACACCGCCAGUAUGGUCCUCACCCCUGUGGCAACCUCUGGCUACUUGGCCUCCACCCCCAGCUGACUGAGUGGGAGCCGAAGAAACCUGUGCAGAAAAUGGCGGCUGAUCCCUCUACUGAGACUGCCUACUACCGGGUCGAGGACACUGUCUCCUCAUGUGACCCAACUCCCCGCAAUCAUAGCAACAAACUGAAGCUGGAGAAGGGUACUGAUGAGAACCCCUCGCUGCAGACAAACCCUAAGCUGAAGGAGCAGGAGCAGAGCUUUAAACUGGAAGAGCACUUAGUGCAGGCUGACUCUUCUGAUGACCCUGAUGGUCCCGGCCUGAAGAGGCUCUACUGGACUCUGUGCGUUCGGACUGUGGAGGCCUGAAGGAACGACCUCUACCCUGCUGGAAAUGGCCCCUAGAUGGAGCACCGCAAAAAUUACCUGAACCUCGAGGCCUCAUGGCCUCCAUCUCCAUAGGCUCCCGACGGUGAUCUGUCUCAAUCAGUCGAGUCGCAUCAACAACCUCCUCAAAUGUAGCUGCUGUAGCCCUCUCUCUAGUCAUCAAUAUACGGAUCAGAGAGUUGAGGCCAUCUAUAAAACUCUUGAUUCUCUUUCUAUCUAUCGGUGCUGGAACUGGCCCCUAGACGGAGAACCGCUGAAAUUAUCUAAACCUCGGGGCCUCUUAGACUCUCUCUCUCCAUACUCUCCCGAUGGCGAUCUGCCUCAAUCAGUCGAGCCGCAUCAACAACCUCCUCAAAUGUAGCUGCUGUAGCCCUCUCUCUAGUCAUCAAUAUACGGAUCGGAUAGUUGAGGCCAUCUAUAAACCUCCUGAUCCUUUCUCUAUCUGUCGGGAUCAUCCACACAGCAUGCCUAGCAAGCUGUGUAAACCGCAUGAGAUAGUUGAGUCACUGACAUAUCUCCAUGAGUCAACCACUCGAACUUACGAUGCAACUCCUCCCUAUGAGACCAGGGCACAUACUUCUCCAAAAAUACCGUGGAGAACUGCUGCCAAGUGAGGGUUGCUGCCCCAAUAGGCCUACGCCUCUCGAGCUCUUCCCACCAAGUAAAUGCAACUCUUGUGAACUAGAAGGUGGUAAAAGCCACUCCAUUAGACUCCAGAAUAUGCGCAACACUUGAGGGUGGUCUUGUAGAGAUUGAGAGAGGAGAAGCUUUAUGCAAAGUUCUCCAAAUGUGAUUUCUGGUUUAGUACUCUGGCUUUUCUGGACACGUGGUGUCUAGCGAUGGCAUUCAGGUUGACCCAAAGACAAUUGAGGCAGUGCAGAGUUGGCCGAGACCGUCCUCCGCUACUGAGAUUCGGAGUUUCCUUGGUUUGGCGGGUUAUUACCACAGGUUUGUCCAGGGAUUUUCAUCCAUUGCUUCGCCUUUGACAAAGUUGACACAGAAGAAUGCUCCAGUUGUGUGGUCGUAGGAAUGUGAGGAGAUCUUCCAGAAGCUCAAGUCAGCUUUGCCCACAGUACCGGUACUAGUAUUGCCUCAGAUGCAGUUAUCACAGGUAUUAUCUCAGUCCGCCACAUGAAUGCUUCUAUUUUAUUUGAUCCCGGAUCUACCUAUUCAUAUAUGUCUUUCUAUUUUGCUCAUCAUUUGGGUACGACCUGUGGUUGCCUUGCCUUGCUUGUGCACGUAUCUACCCCGGUGGGUGAUACUAUUAUUGUGGAUCAUGUCUAUCGAUCCUGUCUGGUGACUAUUGGGGGUCUGGAGACUCAAGUUGACUUAUUAUUGUUGGGCAUGGUAGAUUUCGACGUGAUUCUGGUAUGGAUUGGCUAUCUCCGUGCCAUGCUAUUUUGGACUGUCAUGCUAAGACAAUUACACUAGCUAUUCCGGGUAUUCCGAGGAUCGAGUGGCGAGGCGUGACUGACUAUGUACCUAGCAGGGUUAUCUCUUUCUUAAAAGCCCAACGGAUAGUUGGAAAGGGGUGUUUAUCAUAUUUGGCUUUCGUGAGAGAUGUGGAAGCCGAGGCUCCUAGUCUUGUUUCGGUUCCCUUUAUUAGGGAUUUCCUUUAUGUGUUUCUAGUGGACUUGCCGGGCAUGCCGCCAAACAGGGACAUUGAUUUUGGUAUUGAUCUGGUACCGGGCACUUAGCCCAUCUUUAUUCCUCCCUAUCAUGUGGCACCAGCAGAGUUAUGUACCUAGCAAGGUGAUUUCUUUCCUAAAAACCCAACAAAUGGUUGGAAAGGGGUGUUUAUCAUAUUUGGAUUUCGUGAGAGAUGUGGAAGCCGAGGCUCCUAGCCUUGGUUCGGUUCCCAUUGUUAGGGAUUUUCCUGACGUAUUUCCAGCGGAACUUGUCGGGCAUGCCGCCGGACAGGUACAUUGAUUUAGGUAUUGAUCUGGUGCCGGGCACUCAGCCUAUCUUUAUUCCUCCCUAUCGUAUGGGACCAGCAAAGUCGAAAAAGUUGAAAUAACAACUUCAGGAACUCCUGGAUAAGGGGUUCAUUCGCCCGACUGUGUCACCUUGGGGUGCGCCUGUAGAUUCGGUUCCCAUUGUUAGGGAUUUCCCUGAUGUGUUUCCAGCGGACUUGCCAGGCAUGCCGUCGGACAGGGACAUUGAUUCGGUAUUGAUCUAGUGCUGGGCACUCAGCCCAUCUCUAUUACUCCCUAUCAUAUGGUGCCAGCAGAGCUAAAGGAGUUGAAAGAACAACUUCAGGAACUCCUAGAUAAGGGGUUCAUUCGCCCGAGUNNNNNNNNNNNNNNNNNNNNNNNNNNNNNNNNNNNNNNNNNNNNNNNNNNNNNNNNNNNNNNNNNNNNNNNNNNNNNNNNNNNNNNNNNNNNNNNNNNNNNNNNNNNNNNNNNNNNNNNNNNNNNNNNNNNNNNNNNNNNNNNNNNNNNNNNNNNNNNNNNNNNNNNNNNNNNNNNNNNNNNNNNNNNNNNNNNNNNNNNNNNAAUAAGGUGACAGUGAAGAACAAGUACCCACUACCCCAUAUUGAGGAUUUAUUUGAUCAGCUCCAGGGAGCAAGGGUAUUCUCUAAGAUUGACCUUUGAUCAGGCUAUCACCAGCUGAAGAUUAGGGAUUCAGAAAUUAUGAAGACAUAGCUUCGGUGAAGGUACAGUGGAGAGGUCGGCCUGUGGAGCAAGCCACUUGGGAUACCGGGCAGGAGAUGCGCAACAAAUAUCCUCACUUGUUUGACACUCCAGGUAUGUUUCUUGACCCGCUCGAGGACGAGCGUUUGUUAAUGUUAGGGAUGAUGUAAUGACCUAACCCGUCGUCCCAUGAGUUACAACCCCAUUUUCCCUGUUUUAUGUUUCUAUAUGUUCCAUUUUAUGUGUUUUGAGAGUUUGGAGUAAUUCGGAUGGAGUUGGGGUAGAAAUGAGACAAUUAGUCUCUUUAUGAGAAGGUUAGUUUGGAAAAGUCAACUGAAUAUUGACUUAUGAGUUAGAGGGAUCGUAAUGGAUUUUUGAUGUUUCGACUAGUGUCGGAUGGUCAUUCUUAACUUAGGGGCGAAAUCAAAACUGAAUUUGGAGGUCCGAUGUAGAAUUAGGCUUGAAUUAGCUAAGUUAGAAUUUUGGCGAACUCCGGUUGAUAGGUGAGAUUUUGAUCCGAGGGUCGGAAUGAAAUUCCGAUAGUUGCAGUAGGUCCGUAAGGUGAUUUUUGAAAUGUGUGCAAAUUUCAGAUCAUUCAGAGGUGUUUAGUUCGGGUUUUGACUCAAAUGCAAGUUUCGGAAGUUUUAGUUUAUCUUAGGCUUGAAUCCGUGGUAAAUUGAUAAUUUUGUUGUUUAUGAUAGUGUUUUUUGAGUGAAGUAAUCGAACAUAUCUGUGCUUUUGGUUGAAGUUUAAUAGUGCAGUAGAAAAUUGCAGCAGACUUUUGUUCUAUGCGAUCGCAUGAGCAUCGUUGCGAUCGCAUAUAGGAAUGAAGGGGGGCUCAAAGUUUGGUCUAUGUGAUCCCGUAAAGGGUGAUGCGAUCACAUAGGCUUGAGUGCGAUCACAUAAGAGGAACUGAGGGGUCUGGACUUUGGUCUAUGCGAUCGCAUAGGCUUGAGUGCAAUAGCAUAAGAUGAAAUUAAGGUUGUCAGAAAUUGUUCUAUGUGAUCGCAAUAGGAGUGAUGCGAUCACAUAGAGGAAAUCACUGGUCAGACAUAAUGUUUUAAGGGUUUUUUCACCCACAACUUAAACAUAUGUUCCUCCAUUGUUAAAUAACCAAAGGAGCUUUUUGAGCGAUUUGAAAUGUGCUUUCAGCGGGCAUUGAUUGGAGGUAAGUAUCUUGACUUAAAAACACCAUUUUUAGGAAGAAUCAAUCUUCAAUUCCAUGAAUUGUGAAGAACUAGGGCUUAGUUUUUAAAAACAAAUUUUGGGGAUUUUAAGGGUCAUUCGAGCUCCGUUUUCGACAAACUUUAUAUGAACGGACUCGUGGCGAGACGAGGAACCCAAAGAUGUGAUUUUCAGAAUUUUUUGAGAAGUGGGCCCGAGGCUCGGGUUUUACCAACUUCGUGAUUUUUAGCAUUUUUCAAGUAAUUUCAAUUGGGUUAUGUUUAUUUAGUCUAUAAUAAUGUAUUUAUUGUGGUUUUGACUAGAUUCGAUGCUCGUAGAGGGAGAUUUGAAGGGAAAAGGCAUUGCAGACGAGUCUACGACCGGUAAGAGGUGAGUAGUUUGUAUAGAUGAUGGCCUGAGGGUUUGAAACCCCAGUUUAUCACAUCGUGACGAUAUGUGAGGGCAUGACUCGCACCCCAUGGUAGGAGCAUGAUUGCAUAUGAUUUGGGAUUGUGACUUGGUCCAUCCCGAGAGCUAAAUAAUAUUAUUGUCGGCUGAUAUGCACCCUAUAAUGAAUAUUUCUGGGCUUAUUGCCAUGUUUGGGGUCUUGUGCCGACCUGUAGCAUCCAUUUAUGAUGAAUAUCUGUGUGAUAACAUGAUUUUCAUAAUCAUUUAUCUCAGUCCUGUUCUUUAAUCACUGUAUUAAGUGCUAUGUCACCUUAUUUCUGAAAUUGACUAAUUGAAUUAUAUUCACCUUAAUAAUUGAAAACUUGCAAAGAAUUAGAUUGAAUCUGUCAUGUGACUUACAUGCAUACUGUGGACUGGCUAUUGGGUCGGGCUGCACGCCGCAGCGGUGAUAUGAUGAUAUUGCUCUUGGGCUGAAGGAGCCCCUCCGGAGUCUGUACACACCCCCAGUAAGCGCCGUCGACGUUAAACGGAUCGGGCUGCACGCCGCAGCGUAUUCAUGUGCACUGCAUUGCAUCAUUAUCUGAUACUUGACCUUUAUAUUUGAUAUUGCUUUGCUGUUAGUUCGUAGUUAAGGUAUAGGACUGUUAGUUUUAGCUUUGCUUUAUGGCAUUUCGUGGAUUCUUAGUUUUAGACAUUAUAUAUGCUUAUUACUCACUGAGUCGGUAGUACUCACCCCUACUCCCUGCACCUUGUGUGCAGAUUCAGGUACAUCGGAGGCUUAGCUGACACUCGUAGUCUCCAAAUAUUUUUCAGAGUCGUUGAGGUAGUUGCUUGACAUUUGCAGGACCUUGUUGCUCUUCAUAUUCCAGUUUAUCAUUAUUAUAUACAUCUUCCAGAUUCUAUUAUAUUUUCAUUCAGAUAUUAUUAUCAAGUUUUGUUUAGAGGCUCUAGACUCGUGACCCUAGAUCUUAUGGGUGUUUAUCG
rnacentral:lncRNA from 1 species